rnacentral:rRNA from 1 species
CUACGCACUCCUACGGGAGGCAGCAGUGGGGAAUAUUAGCACAAUGGGCGCAAGCCUGAUGCAGCCAUGCCGCGUGUAUGAAGAAGGCCUUCGGGUUGUAAAGUACUUUCAGCAGUGAGGAAGGUGGGUAUGUUAAUAGCAUAUUCAUUUGACGUUAGCUGCAGAAGAAGCACCGGCUAACUCCGUGCCAGCAGCCGCGGUAAUACGGAGGGUGCGAGCGUUAAUCGGAAUUACUGGGCGUAAAGCGCAUGCAGGUGGUUUGUUAAGUCAGAUGUGAAAGCCCGGGGCUCAACCUCGGAAUUGCAUUUGAAACUGGCAAACUAGAGUACUGUAGAGGGGGUAGAAUUUCAGGUGUAGCGGUGAAAUGCGUAGAGAUCUGAAGGAAUACCGGUGGCGAAGGCGGCCCCCUGGACAGAUACUGACACUCAGAUGCGAAAGCGUGGGGAGCAAACAGGAUUAGAUACCCUGGUAG